CCCGAAAAAAUUUUGGGGGAGCAUAUAGUCGCCGCCUUGUCCGUCCGUCCGUCUGUCCGCACUACCGAAUAGGGAUAGGGGGCCAUCUAACUGUAAACAGAACAAAAGAGAACAAUAGAGUUCAUUCCGUAACAAUAGAGUAAGGGGCCAUUGGCCCUCUAUUAAACAAUAGAAAAUAACAAAAGAAAUGGCCCCUUAUUCCAUUCCAAUUAUUCCCCUUUGUUUAUUUUUACACUUUGAAGUUUGUCAGGGACAUAACUCUAAAAGUAUAAGAGGUAUCAACAUGAAACUUUGUAGGUAGAUAGAUCUCAUUGAGUAGGUGUGCAGUGCACAAGAACCGUAACUCUGCCUUGCCUAAUUUUUGAAUUAUUCCCCUUUGUUUAUUUUUACACUUUGAAGUUUGUCCGGGACAUAACUCUAAAAGUAUAAGAGGUAUCAACAUGAAACUUUGUAGGUAGAUAGAUCUCAUUGAGUAGGUGUGCAGUGCACAAGAACUGUAACUCUGGCUUGCCUAAUUUUUGAAUUAUCCCCCUUUGUUAUAUGCCCGAAAGAAUUUCGGACAUAUUAUGUUAUACCCCCUGGCGUCCGUCCGUCCGUCUGUCCGUCCGUCCGUCCGUCCGUCCGUCCGUCUGUUAGCAAUUUGGUUUCCGGAGCAUAACUUAAGUUCCAUUUGGCCCACAAUAUUCAAACUUCAUAGGAAGAUUGUCCAUAUUGGGUAGAAGACCCCUAUUGAUUUUGGGGUCAUAAGGUCAAAGGUCAAGGUCACUAUGACCUUAAAACUGAAAACAGUUUCCGGAGCAUAACUUAAGUUCCAUUUGGCCUACAGUGUUCAAACUUCAUAGGAUGAUUGUCCAUAUUGGGUAAAAGACCCCUAUUGAUUUUGGGGUCACAAGGUCAAAGGUCAAGGUCACUAUGACCUUAAAACUGAAAACAGUUUCCGGAGCAUAACUUAAGUUCCAUUUGGCCCACAGUGUUCAAACUUCAUAGGAUGAUUGUCCAUAUUGGGUAGAAGACCCCUAUUGAUUUUGGGGUCAAAGGUCAAGGUCACUAUGACAUUAAAACUGAAAACAGUUUCCGGAGCAUAACUUAAGUUCCAUUUGUCCUACAGUGUUCAAACUUCAUAGGAUGAUUGUCCAUAUUUGGUAGAAGACCCCUAUAGGUUUUGGGGUCACAGGUCAAAGGUCAAGGUCACUAUGACCUUAAAACUGAAAACAGUUUCCGGAGCAUAACUUAAGUUCCAUUUGGCCCACAGUGUUCAAACUUCAUAGGAUGAUUGUCCAUAUUGGGUAGAAGACCCCUAGUGAUUUUGGGGUCAUAAGGUCAAAGGUCAAGGUCACUAUGACCUUAAAACUGAAAACAGUUUCCGGAGCAUAACUUAAGUUCCAUUUGGCCUACAGUGUUCAAACUUCAUAGGAUGAUUGUCCAUAUUGGGUAGAAGACCCCUAUUGAUUUUGGGGUCACAAGGUCAAGGUCACUAUUACCUAAAAACUGAAAACAGUUUUCGGAAUAUAACUUAAGUAUCAUUUGGCCUACUGUGUUUAAACUUCAUAGUAUGAUUGUCCAUAUUGGGUAAAAGACCGCUAAUGAUUUUGGGGUCACAAGGUCAAAGGUCAAGGUCACUUUUACCUUAGAAUUGAAAACAGUUUCUGGGGCAUAACUUAAAGUUCCAUUUGGACCACAAUAUUGAAACUUCAAAGGAGGAUUGUUAUUUGAAGGAGGUAAUACUUUAUUUUAGUCCCAUGUCUUACAAAUGCU